UUAAAAUAAGUGUCUACGGCCGAAACGCGUAAAUAAUGUUUAUUUUAGAUUCGGAAAAGAAGACUGUAUGGUUUUUCAAUGAUGUUAUUAUAUUUUUGUUUCCGUGAACAACUUUUCCACCAGAAAUCUUGCUCCGAUUUACAAUGAUAGCAGUUGUUCUAAUAGGAAACCCGACUGGUGAGAUACUUUGGGAAGGUCGUUUUUUGAUUUUCCCAACAGAUGGGAAAAAACGGAGAGAAAAUUGGAGAAAACGUACGAAAUGCGUAGGGCAUUUUCAAACCGUAAAUAUGACGGCCUUUCAAAACGUGUACAACCCCACCAAACUCCGUUUAGGAUUUCGUUCGCGAACUCCGCUCAGAAUCGCAUUUCGUCGGCAGCGACGGUAUUGACGCUGGCCGCACUGCAGGUAUAAACCGAAUCGCCCGCCACAUCUUACCUUCGCGACUUCUCGUGACCCACG